rnacentral:hammerhead_ribozyme from 1 species
GCACUGCUGACGAGUCCCAAAUAGAACGAAACAGCUGUCCAGUGC